rnacentral:lncRNA from 1 species
AAUCCUUAUGACUACCUUGAGUGUAUAUAUGAUAUAUACUCAAGAAAAUGGUAAAGUAUCAUUUGACCUGAAAUAAUGAAACCUUAAAUAGCUAAUUGGUAGCUUAAGGUGACUACAAUCAAAGAGAAUGGUUGACUUUGAAGAAACCAUCUUUGAGAUAGUCUUGGUUUCAAUUAAUUCGAAGAUUGCUAGCUACAACUAAAUGGUGAUUCAAUGUUUGGACAUAAUAUGAGUUUCUGAAACCAUUGUUAAGAUAGUCUUAAUAAUAUAUGUCUAAAACUAUGAAUCACAAGACAUGUAAGUUGUAGAGAUCCAUCCAUC